rnacentral:rRNA from 1 species
GACGAACGCUGGCGGCGUGCUUAACACAUGCAAGUCGAACGAAGUGGCGAACGGGUGAGUAACGCGUAAUCAACCUGCCCUUCAGAGGGGGACAACAGUUGGAAACGACUGCUACUACCGCAUACUGAAGGUGGGGAUUGCGUCUGAUUAGCUAGUUGGUGGGGUAACGGCCCACCAAGGCGAUGGUCAGUAGCCGGUCUGGGAGGGUGAACGGCCACAAUGGGACUGGGACACGGCCCAGACUCCUACGGGAGGCAGCAGUGGGGAAACUUCCGCAAUGGACGGAAGUCUGGCGGAGCAACGCCGCGGUGGUGAUGGCGGCCUUCGGGUUGUAAAGCUCUGUUAAUCGGGACGCGGUACCGAAAUAGAAAGCCACGGCUAACUACGUGCCAGCAGCCGCGGUAAUUC